CAGAUGAUCGCGGAGCAUGUCUCUGAGGAAAGUCCGAGCUCCACAGGGCAGGAUGCCGGAUAACGUCCGGUAAAGGUGACUUUAAGGCAAGUGCAACAGAAAGCAAACCGCCGAUUUUUCGGUAAGGGUGAAACGGUGAGGUAAGAGCUCACCAGUGGCUGAAGUAAUUCGCCAGCUGGGUAAACCCCAUUUGGAGCAAGACCAAGAACGAGCGCAAAAAGGCGGCGGCCCGUCGCUGCUCAACAGGUAGGUCGCUUAAGUUUGCUGGCAACAGCAAAAUCAGAUAGAUGAUCAUUUAAACAGAACUCGGCUUACAGAUCUAAUC
rnacentral:RNase_P_RNA from 1 species